rnacentral:lncRNA from 1 species
GUGAAAUGAGUAAAUGGAUUGCGUGCGCCUGUUUGGAUCUGACUUCGCUCAAAGCGAUUGUGGCCAAGAGAGGAACAAUUCUCGGCUUGAGUUACAAGCCCAUUGAUUAGGGUAAAUCGUGGAAGACAGUCGGUGGAUUUGGAUGGUGCUCCAGCGCCUAGCUGGAUUGCAAAGGCUGUAUAAUACAUGGGGUGGACAAAAAAGUAACAGGAUGGUUCUCC